UGCCUAUAAAGAAAUUUAA
rnacentral:miRNA from 1 species